rnacentral:rRNA from 1 species
GACGGAGGGUGCUAGCGUUGUUCGGAAUUACUGGGCGUAAAGGGCGCGUAGGCGGCUUGUUAAGUCGGGUGUGAAAGCCCGGGGCUCAACCCCGGAACUGCAUCCGAGACUGGCGAGCUUGAGACCGGGAGAGGAGAGUGGAAUACCCAGUGUAGAGGUGAAAUUCGUAGAUAUUGGGUGGAACACCGGUGGCGAAAGCGGCUCUCUGGCCCGGAUCUGACGCUGAGGCGCGAAAGCGUGGGGAGCAAACAGG